rnacentral:rRNA from 1 species
GAUGAACGCUGGCGGCGUGCCUAAUACAUGCAAGUCGAGCGAACAGACGAGGAGCUUGCUCCUCUGACGUUAGCGGCGGACGGGUGAGUAACACGUGGAUAACCUACCUAUAAGACUGGGAUAACUUCGGGAAACCGGAGCUAAUACCGGAUAAUAUAUUGAACCGCAUGGUUCAAUAGUGAAAGACGGUUUUGCUGUCACUUAUAGAUGGAUCCGCGCCGCAUUAGCUAGUUGGUAAGGUAACGGCUUACCAAGGCAACGAUGCGUAGCCGACCUGAGAGGGGGAUCGGCCACACUGGAACGGAGACACGGUCCAGACUCCUACGGGAGGCAGCAGUAGGGAAUCUUCCGCAAUGGGCGAAAGCCUGACGGAGCAACGCCGCGUGAGUGAUGAAGGUCUUCGGAUCGUAAAACUCUGUUAUGAGGGAAGAACAAAUGUGUAAGUAACUAUGCACGUCUUGACGGUACCUAAUCAGAAAGCCACGGCUAACUACGUG